rnacentral:rRNA from 1 species
GACGUAGGAGGCGAGCGUUGUCCGGAUUCAUUGGGCGUAAAGAGCGCGCAGGCGGCUUGGUAAGUCGGAUGUGAAAUCCCGAGGCUCAACCUCGGGUCUGCAUCCGAUACUGCCCGGCUAGAGGUAGGUAGGGGAGAUCGGAAUUCCUGGUGUAGCGGUGAAAUGCGCAGAUAUCAGGAGGAACACCGGUGGCGAAGGCGGGUCUCUGGGCCGAUACUGACGCUGGAGGAGCGAAAGCGUGGGGAGCGAACAGG